UCAUCUCGCGAUCCAGCGCUCUGAUGAAAGUCAGCAUUGAACAUAACAAAAGUCUCCCAUUCUUGGGAGACUUUUUAAGCCGUU
rnacentral:ncRNA from 10 species